AGUCUUCAGUACCCAGAGAGAAAAGGGCAGGCUUUGGGUGGGAACAUUUCCAUUGCCCUGAGGAGACUGAAAAUAAAGCCUCUACAACACGGGUCCAAGGCAGGGUCCUGCCUCACCUAGGACUCAGCGUAGCACCGACAGUAUCUAGCACAUUGUACACGCUCAACAAAUGCUUGUGAUUAUGGUGCUCUUUCUGAUUAUCACAGUUGCCUUAUGAUAACUUCAUUGUUGUCAUCAUUAUUAACCAGAGGCAUGAGAGCCUGGAGGAAGGGCUCCACUCUAAUAGAAGGACCCAGCGCUGAAAGUGCAUUUAGGUGUCUGCAUUCAGGAAUGGAAAAAAGGAAAAAGAACCUACAGACAGCAUGCAAACGAAGUAGAGAAGACUACCUGAAAGAACAGUUUUGAGGAGGGAACAAAGACUAAAGGGGAAAAAGAAAGAACCCCACAACAUGG
rnacentral:lncRNA from 10 species